GCUCGGGUAGCUUAGUGGGAAAGCUCCGCAAUGGGAUGACGGAAGUUCAAUUCCUCCCGCGAGCA